rnacentral:rRNA from 1 species
GACGAACGCUGGCGGCGUGCUUAACACAUGCAAGUCGAACGGAAAGGCCCUGCUUUUGUGGGGUUCUCGAGUGGCGAACGGGUGAGUAACACGUGAGUAACCUGCCCUUGACUUUGGGAUAACUUCAGGAAACUGGGGCUAAUACCGGAUAGGAGCUCCUGCUGCAUGGUGGUGGUUGGAAAAUUUCGGCGGUGGUGGAUGGACUCGCGGCUUAUCAGCUUGUUGGUGGGGUAGUGGCUUACCAGGGCUUUGACGGGUAGCCGGCAUGGGAGGGUGACCGGCCACAUUGGGACUGAGAUACGGCCCAGACUCGUACGGGAGGCAGCAGUGGGGAAUAUUGCACAAUGGGCGGAAGCGUGAUGCAGCAACGCCGCGUGCGGGAUGACGGCCUUCGGGUUGUAAACCGCUUUCGCCUGUGACGAAGAGUGAGUGACGGUAAUGGGUAAAGAAGCACCGGCUAACUACGUG